UUAUUUGAACAGAUUUUCAGGUAGAACAUCCACAAUGAUGGAAGAAAGAACAGAGAAGAGUUUCUCAUUUACAAAUGUUGGAGGCACAGUUUAAUGAAAUACUUCACUGACAGUUUUAUUGGAUGGACUAAACUAUGACUUGUUCUAUUUCCUAUUUUACAUUUUCUUUGUGACAAAUCCUACCAAACAACUGAUAACUGCCUCAAGUGAAAUAGCUCGGUGUGAUACAACACUUCUCUGGUGAGCUGAAGUCUUAGGUUCGAAUCCCGGGACAUCCAGGCAUUUUCAAGUCUAACACCCAAAGUGGAGAAUGAGUUUACCAAAUGAAGGUUCUGUCUCUCAGGACAAAUAGCUCAGAGGGAUAAGUGACAGGUCAGUAGACCUGAGGUUGUGUGUUCAAAUCCUUUGUGAGCUGUAGUGAUUUUUAAAGUGCUUUACUCAGUGGAGAAGCUAAAUGUGCCCGGAGAACAGAGCUUCAUGUACAUGUAUGUGGCCUCAGGGGUUUGUUCGCGGCACGUAGGCGCCCGUGUCGAGUUCAGAUCCACCACUUAAGUGUACGGGGUUCGAAUACCGAACAAGGCAGAUAGUUACAAUAGGUCAGAGGUAGAUCAGUGAGGCAGAGUAGGAAGGCAGGCAGAGAAGGAGAGGCAGACACAUUAGGAAGGCAGGCAUGAAGGAGAGGCAGGCAGACACAGUAGGCAGGCAGGCAUGAAGGAGAGGCAGACGUAGGCAGGCAGGCAUGAAGGAGAGGCAGACGUAGGCAGGCAGGCAUGAAGGAGAGGCAGGCAGACGUAGGCAGACACAGUACGAAGGCAGGCAGACAAGGAGAGGCAGGACUCAGAUAGAGUAAAGUAGGGGUCAGGAUAAGGAAGUACAGAAAAAGAGAAUUUUUUUUUUUGUAAUUUUUGGGUUUUUUUGGUUCCUGAAAGCAGCAGUGCAGCCGCAGGGGGGAUUUGAACCCUGGCUGCCAGGAUUCUUUUUUGGCUCACUGUGCACCUGCUCUACCAGGACUUUCUGCUGACAUUUAAAAGUGUGUGCUUACUAAGACUUUUAAAUGACAUACUUUACCACGAGUGGAGGAAGAAGAGGACGAGGAUGAUGUGAAGAGACCCGGCUGUCCUCAGGUUUGGUCCAGAAACUCUGCACUCACCUGGGGAGAAAUGAAGAGAGGGACAGCAUUAGGAUUAUUCUGGUUUAAGACAUUUUAAACUUUUUCAGGGAUUUAUUUAUCAGCAUAUGUUUGACUUUCUUUCUAAAAGCUAUUUUAUCUUAUUGUAAUUACAACAAAUAUUAAAAAUGUGAUUUUUAUGCUGCUGCAACGAAAACAUUUCCCAAAUUGGGAUCAAUAAAGUACUUCUAUCCAUCUAUAAUUAAACAUAUCUUUUCUCAGGAAACAUCAACAUGAUUGUUUAUGAUAAACUACAAUAUUAUAUUUGUCACACGAUUCUAAACUAUGACUUAAUAUGACUCUAAAUCAAGCCACUCUACAUCAAGUCACCUUUUCACUGCAGGACUUUUACUGUGUGCUUUACUGGGAGCUAACCUGACUCUCGCGCUCACCAACAGCACUGUCUACUAACAGUAUUUACUCACCAACGCUGACGGGAUAGCACAAUGUGCAGGCUGUUAGCAGUGAAGGUAAAACACCAACAAGUGUAUCCACACCGGCGCCAUCAAGCUGCUUCUCUCCCAGGUGUUGCACGAUGAUACUUCCGGGGUGUGUCCUGCAGAGAGGCUGCAGAGGCUGAAUGCAUCACGUGUGCUCUGUAGACAGCAUGAGGGCUAGGACAUCUGACGUCAAUGAAGACGGAGGCUUCUUGAGUUUCUGAAAAACUUAAGGUGCUGUACUCUGACUUUUUUCUGAUGUCUUCAACAUACUAUACUGUGUCGUUGUUUCUGACAUUUCCAAUAGACUGUACUGACGUUAUGGUGUCUUUUUAUUCUUUACUCCCCACCUGAGUCCAAGAAUAUCUGCUGGAGGAGUCCAAGGACAUUUGCUGGAAGAGUCCAAGGACAUUUGCUGGAAGAGUUCAAGGACAUUUGCUGGAAGAGUUCAAGGACAUCUGCUGGAGGAGUCCAAGGACAUCUGCUGGAAGAGUGAUAGGACAUCUGCUGGAGGAGUGAUAGGACAUCUGCUGGAGGAGUGAUAGGACAUCUGCUGGAUGAAUGAUAGGACAUCUGCUGGAGGAGUGAUAGGACAUCUGCUGGAGGAGUGAUAGGACAUCUGCUGGAGGAGUGCAUGCAAGGACAUCUGACAUCAAUGAAGACGUCGUCUUCUUGAGUUUCUGGAAAACUUAAGCAGUGCAGCGAUUUACCCCACCAGCCACAGCAUCAAUGAAGACCAUGGCGUCCUAAGCUUCUGACCCACUUGGGGACAUUUCUGAUUUUAUGUAAAUGUAUGUUAAUUGUAUGUAUUAGUAUUAUUAGUAUCAGUAUUAGUUUUAGUAUUAGUACUAUUUAGCAGACUGGGGCCCUCCCUGCUGCCCGGGCAGGCCCUCCACUGACGGGCAUUCUCUCCCCACCCCGGCCAGGCCCCCCGCUGCCGGGCCAGCCUCUCUCAACCGGCUAGCCACCCGCCCCUUAGUUAGCACACUUAGCACACUUAGCAUACUUAGCAUACUUACUUAGGUAUGCUAAGUAUAGGGGACUUUGCUGCAUUGAAUAAAAUGUUUGUAUGAAACUCAAA